rnacentral:rRNA from 1 species
AGAUUGAACGCUGGCGGCAUGCCUAACACAUGCAAGUCGAACGGGAGUAGCAAUACUCUAGUGGCGGACGGGUGAGGAAUACGUAGGAAUUUGCCCUUAAGUGGGGGAUAACCCGGGGAAACCCGGAUUAAUACCGCAUGACCUCGAAAGAGCAAAGUGGGGGAUCGCAAGACCUCACGCUUUUGGAGAAGCCUACGUCGGAUUAGCUAGUUGGUGAGGUAAUGGCUCACCAAGGCGACGAUCCGUAACUGGUCUGAGAGGAUCGAUCGAGUCACACCGGAACUGAGACACGGUCCGGACUCCGACGGGACGGCAGCGAGGAGGGUAAUAGUUGGAACAAGGUCGGGCGAC